GUUUUAAUAGUUUAAUCCAAAAUAUUGGUCUUGUAAAUCAAAGAUAAAUUUUAAUUUUUAAAACU
rnacentral:tRNA from 1 species